UACGUAGGGUGCAAGCGUUGUCCGGAAUUAUUGGGCGUAAAGAGCUCGUAGGCGGUCUGUUGCGUCGGCUGUGAAAACCCGGGGCUCAACUCCGGGCCUGCAGCCGAUACGGGCAGACUAGAGUUCGGCAGGGGAGACUGGAAUUCCUGGUGUAGCGGUGAAAUGCGCAGAUAUCAGGAGGAAUACCUAUGGCGAAAGCAGGUAUCUGGGCCAUCACUGACGCUGAGCUGCGAAAGCUAGGGGAGCAAACAGG
rnacentral:rRNA from 1 species